CCCUUAGAUGUCCUGGGCUGCACGCGCGCUACACUGAUGUGUCCAGUAAGCACCUAACCUAUUCCGAGAGGAGCGGGUAACCUUAGCAAAGCACAUCGUGAUGGGGAUAGAUUAUUGCAAUUAUUAGUCUUGAACGAGGAAUUCCUAGUAAGCACAAGUCAUCAGCUUGUGUUGAUUACGUCCCUGCCCUUUGUACACACCGCCCGUCGCUCCUACCGAUUGAAUGUUCCGGUGAGCUCUUCGGACUGCGCGGUCUGCAGUUUCUGCGUUCCGUGCGGAAAGUUGUGCAAACCUUAACAUUUAGAGGAAGGAGAAGUCGGAACA
rnacentral:rRNA from 1 species